GGUGACCAAGAGGAAGCCCACCACCAGCAGAGCCACGCAGCCUCCGUCAGACAGCAGGUCUGAGCAGUAGGGGGUCGUCCCAUGGGGGCGGACCUGGGGAGACGAGGAGAGAGACGGCAGUUGGGAUGAUUCAGAAGCAAGCCUUAGAGGUCCUGGUUAAUCCCCCGCUAAGCUGCUGUCACAUGAGGUCUAAUUGUGAGAGAAUUCUGGUCUCUCCAGUCAUUAAAAAGAGCGUUGACCAUUGAGUGGCAGAGGAAGCCAAACACCACCAUGACAAUGGCUGGUGUCAGGAUGGUCCCGAAGACAAGCCCAGCGAGGCAGGCGUUGAUCGCAG